CCUACGGGAGGCAGCAGUGGGGAAUAUUGGACAAUGGGGGGAACCCUGAUCCAGCCAUGCCGCGUGUGUGAAGAAGGCCCUCGGGUUGUAAAGCACUUUCAGUGAGGAAGAACGCCUGGUGGUUAAUACCCAUCAGGAAAGACAUCACUCACAGAAGAAGCACCGGCUAACUCCGUGCCAGCAGCCGCGGUAAUACGGAGGGUGCGAGCGUUAAUCGGAAUUACUGGGCGUAAAGCGCGCGUAGGUGGCUUGAUAAGCCGGUUGUGAAAGCCCCGGGCUCAACCUGGGAACGGCAUCCGGAACUGUCAAGCUAGAGUGCAGGAGAGGAAGGUAGAAGUCCCGGUGUAGCGGUGAAAUGCGUAGAGAUCGGGAGGAAUACCAGUGGCGAAGGCGGCCUUCUGGACUGACACUGACACUGAGGUGCGAAAGCGUGGGUAGCAAACAGGAUUAGAUACCCCUGUAGUC
rnacentral:rRNA from 1 species